GUCGAGGGGCAGCAUAUGGAUUGCUUGCAAUCCAUGAUGGCGACCGGCGCACGGGUGCGUAACGCGUAUGUAACUUGCCUUAUGCAGGAGGAUAACCCGAAGAAAUUCGGCCUAAUACUCCAUAAGUGUCAGAGAGGCAUCUUUCGGGCAUGAAAGAUUUAUCGGCAUAAGAUAGACAUGCGUGACAUUAGCUAGUCGGUGAGGUAACGGCUCACCGAGGCGACGAUGUCUAGGGGUUCUGAGAGGAAGGUCCCCCACACUGGUACUGAGACACGGACCAGACUCCUACGGGAGGCAGCAGUGAGGAAUAUUGGUCAAUGGACGGAAGUCUGAACCAGCCAUGCCGCGUGCAGGAUGACGGCUCUAUGAGUUGUAAACUGCUUUUGUACGAGAAUAAUAGUUCUUACGUGUAGGGAUUUGAAUGUAUCGUACGAAUAAGGAUCGGCUAACUCCGUGCCAGCAGCCGCGGUAAUACGGAGGAUUCGAGCGUUAUCCGGAUUUAUUGGGUUUAAAGGGUGCGUAGGCUGUCGGAUAAGUUAGAGGUCAAAUGUCGGGGCUUAACCCCGUGCCUGCCUCUGAUACUGUUCGACUGGAGAGCGGAUGCAGCAGGCGGAAUGAGUAGUGUAGCGGUGAAAUGCUUAGAUAUUACUCAGAACACCGAUUGCGCAGGCAGCUUGCUAAUCCGCAUCUGACGCUGAUGCACGAAAGCGUGGGUAGCGAACAGGAUUAGAUACCCUGGUAGUCCACGCAGUAAACGAUGAUAACUCGUUGUCGGCGAUAUACAGUCGGUGACCCAGCGAAAGCGAUAAGUUAUCCACCUGGGGAGUACGA
rnacentral:rRNA from 1 species